rnacentral:rRNA from 1 species
UACCCAACAGCUAGCUUAUCUUAAAAUACAACCUAUCAUUAUAAAUAACCCAUAACUUACAAUUACUCAAUAAAAAAAAUAUUUAACCCCCUAAGUAUGGAAGACAGAAAAGAAAAUACAUGCAAUAAAAAAAGUACCGCAAGGGAACGCUGAAAAAGAAAUGAAACAAAUCAGUUAAGUUAUAAAAAGCAGAGAUUUACCCUCGUACCUUUCGCAUCAUGGUUUAGCCAGCCUCCUUAAGCAAAACGCCCUUUAGUUUAAUACCCCGAAACUAAGUGAGCUACUCCAAGACAGUCUAUAUAGGACCAACCCGUCUCUGUCGCAAAAGGGUGGGAAGAGCUUCGAGUAGAGGUGAUAUACCUACCGAACUUAGUUAUAGCUGGUUGCCUGGGAACUGAAUUUGAGUUCAGCCUCCCGAAUUCUUCGCACACUUACCCCACCCCACCCCAUAAGUUAAUAAAGAAACCCGAGAGAGUUAAUUAAAGGAGGAACAGCCCCUUUAAUACAAGACACAACUUUACCAGAAGGAUGUUGAUCAUAAUCAUAAAGGUAUUUUAUUUCCGUAGGCCUAAAAGCAGCCACCCUUACAGAAAGCGUCAAAGCUCGUAUAAUACUAUAAACCUAUUAUCCAGAUAACUAACUUACCCCACUCCUCUAACCCUACCAGGCCUUCUCAUGCACACAUGAGAGUGAUUCUGCUAAUAUGAGUAAUAAGAGAAAUAACAUCUCUCUCCAAGCACAAGUGUAUAUCGAAACGAAUUCAUCACCGAAAAUUAAUGGCUCCAAACAAAGAAGCACUUGAAAAACUAAUAAUCAACAAGAAAACCUAUCAACACAUACCAUUAACCCCACACCCUGUGCCACUAAAGGAAAGACAAAAAUAAAGAGAAGGAAUUCAGCAAACACCCCAGGCUCCGCCUGUUUACCAAAAACACCGCCUCUUGCAAUACAACACAUAAGAGGUCCUGCCUGCCCCUUGACUAUAUGUUUAACGGCCACGGUAUCCUAACCAUGCGAAGGUAGCGUAAUCACUUGUCUUUUAAUUGAGGACCUGUAUGAACGGCACAACGAGAGCUUAUCUGUCUCCUCUUUCUAGUCAAUAAAAUUGAUCUUCCCGUGCAGAAGCGGAAAUAAAUACAUAAGACGAGAAGACCCUGUGGAACUUUAGACGCCGAAACAGACCAUAUUCCUAUUAAAUUAUGCUCAACCUGCCUUCACGUCUUUGGUUGGGGCGACCAAGGGGAGUUAACUAACCCCCACGUGGACAGGGAACACCUUUCCUCAAAGCCUAGAACCACAAUUCUAACUAGUAGAACAUCUAACCAUCCUAAAUAAGACCCGGCAAUGCCGAUCUACGAACCAAGCUACCCCAGGGAUAACAGCGCAAUCCCCUUUCAGAGUCCAUAUCGACAAGGGGGUUUACGACCUCGAUGUUGGAUCAGGACAUCCUAAUGGUGCAACCGCUAUUAAAGGUUCGUUUGUUCAACGAUUAAAGUCCUACGUGAUCUGAGUUCAGACCGGAGUAAUCCAGGUCAGUUUCUAUCUAUGCUAUGCUUUUUUCUAGUACGAAAGGACCGAAAAAAAAGAGCCAAUACUAAAAGCAAGCCCUCCCCCCACUCACUGAAACAAACUAAAAAGGUAUAAGGACAUACCAUUAAAACUAAGAACCAGAUAU